rnacentral:rRNA from 2 species
AUGGACGCAAGUCUGAUGGAGCAACGCCGCGUGAGUGAAGAAGGCUUUCGGGUCGUAAAACUCUGUUGUUGGAGAAGAAUGGUCGGCAGAGUAACUGUUGUCGGCGUGACGGUAUCCAACCAGAAAGCCACGGCUAACUACGUGCCAGCAGCCGCGGUAAUACGUAGGUGGCAAGCGUUAUCCGGAUUUAUUGGGCGUAAAGCGAGCGCAGGCGGUUUUUUAAGUCUGAUGUGAAAGCCCUCGGCUUAACCGAGGAAGUGCAUCGGAAACUGGGAAACUUGAGUGCAGAAGAGGACAGUGGAACUCCAUGUGUAGCGGUGAAAUGCGUAGAUAUAUGGAAGAACACCAGUGGCGAAGGCGGCUGUCUGGUCUGUAACUGACGCUGAGGCUCGAAAGCAUGGGUAGCGAACAGGAUUAGAUACCCUGGUAGUCCAUGCCGUAAACGAUGAAUGCUAGGUGUUGGAGGGUUUCCGCCCUUCAGUGCCGCAGCUAACGCAUUAAGCAUUCCGCCUGGGGAGUACGACCGCAAGGUUGAAACUCAAAGGAAUUGACGGGGGCCCGCACAAGCGGUGGAGCAUGUGGUUUAAUUCGAAGCAACGCGAAGAACCUUACCAGGUCUUGACAUCUUUUGAUCACCUGAGAGAUCAGGUUUCCCCUUCGGG